ensembl:lncRNA
GAGAGAGAGAGAGAGAGAGAGAGAGAGAAUAAAAGAGUCACUGGAAUUUGAUGUUUGAGAGACAUUUGGGCACCACAGUCAUGAAGAUCUUUGUGCAGUUAUGGGCAUAAUAUCAAUUACGACCAUCAGGAAAAGCAAACAACGUGUUUUGCAACACAUUACCAUCUUAACUUGAAAGCUUUACACUGUUAGACUGGGUAACAAUAGAUCCUCUUAUAACUCCUUAGAAGAUAUGUCAACAAAUCAUAAGAAUCAAAUCAAAAUAAAAGAUAUCUCAGCAAAUCCUUCAAGUACCCACCCAAGAACAGGAAACACACCCAUUUCUAUGAACAUAACAGACUGCGUAUAGAAACACAGUCACCCAACCAUAUCCCUUCUCUCAACAUACAACAAAUUGUGUGAUGCCACUUUAAAGGGGUCAUAUGAUACGAUUUCAAAUUUUCCUUUCUCUUCGGAGUGUUACAAGCUCUUGGUGCAUAAAGAAGAUCUGUAAAGUUGCAAAGUCUAAAGUCUCAAAUCCAAAGAGAUAUUCUUUAUAAAAGUUAACACUCAUGUUUAUGUCACUGUGUGGGAAGAUUUGCAUAACACCACCCAAAUGUUCACGCAAAGGAAUAAGGCGUAACUUUUAUUCUCGCUGUAGCAUUGUUGUUGCCGCCAUGUUGUGGAGAUGCUGUGUGUUUCAUUGUGAAAGCAAAACUACUUUGUUUUGGCUUCCAAAAGAGGACACAACUAGAAAUCAGUGGUUAAGUUGUAUUUACAACACUGUUCCAGAAUAGUUCAACCCAAAUAUUCAGAUGUGUGCAGCGCAUUUUAUAAGGACUGUUUCCUGAACCUGCAGAGUAGCCUACAAUGUGUCUGUGCUCGAAGGCUGUUUGUAUGAAGUUGGGCAGUUCCAAGUUUGCAAGGACAGUCUGGCGCUUCAGACUCACAGCCUGUAAAAUUUGCCAAUGAUGAUUUAAGGUUUUAAGCAGUGUAGAGUAAUGCUUGUUGUUUGUUGUUUCUCCGAACACAAAUGCAGACAUGGUUUUAUGUUUAUGCGGUGCGAUAGGCAACACAACACGUAAAAACUCAAUAUAAGUCAUUGUAAUCAGUAAUUAUGUCCCCAUUGGAUGCAACAAAUUUGUUAUGGGUUUUAUUGGUUUUGUCUCAUCGUGCCGGGAGACGGCAUCACAGUAUGGUAAGGGCAUAACAUUUCCGUCACACGCUUGAGGUAUUCAGCCAAUCACAAUGCACUGGAUAGCUGGCCAUUCAGCGUACACCUCGCUUUUCAGACCGAUGAGCUUUGUAAAAAACAAUGCAUUUUUGAACCUUAAACCACAUAAACACACUGCAUUACACCAACUACAACAUAAUGUUCUUUUUAGCAAUGUCAUAUGACCUCUUUAACUUCUCUUACGCAUUUGAUUGUUAGGCUAAUGGAGGCUGUCUGAUAUGCCUGUUUGGUUGGUUUUGGUCAUUAUAGAGAGGAAGGAAGAGAUAGUGAUGGCACUGUGUAUAGUCAUUACACUGAGCUAAACAAAGUGGCACUGAGAGCAGCAUGUCCCAGGACAAACUGACAUUAAUUUGACGCUUUGGAUGCUGACAAUCCAGCGGACGUAGUUAAAGCUGCAGUCCAUAACUUUUUUGGUUAAAAAUGAUCCUAAAUAAAUUUUUUAGCAAGUACAUAACCAGCCAGUAUUCAAACCUAUCACCUUACUUUAGCGCAAUUCACAACGGAAAGCUUGUAAUAAAGUUUUCUAGUUUGAGUGUUACAGGUAGG